ensembl:lncRNA
UAUUCCUGCCGCCGUGCUUGAUCCCCGUGCGGUAGCUCCAACAGGCCUGCCCUGAAUCACAGUCUUGAUCAGGUGGUCUUGUGGGCUUAACUAAAUUAGAAGCCAAAUAUACUCAUAGACUAAUUGCUAAGCUACGGUAAAGUCAAACCAGCACUGAACCCGGCAAAACUCAGUCUUCACGAAACGCAUGCCUGCAUGCAAUGCUACAAGAACACACGCUACGGUACGGCGUGUGGGCACCCCUUUACACAAAUAAGCCUCUCGUCGCCCCUGAAUGGAAGAUGUGUGCAUGUGCUCACUGGGGAUUUCCUGCGGCCUAGCCUCGGUAUAUCCCGCACGGAUCACCCGCUCAGGGACGUAACAAUGGAGCAUGUGUGAAACCCUAGCCAUUCUGGCUUGGCUUCAGUGGAUUGUGUCAGAAACACAUUGUUCUCCGUGAGAGGAGGGCAAUAAAGAAGGAGCUUUAUGGCCAUCAUGCGGAGUGGCGGCAUCAUGUGGAGUGUUGGCAGUUCAACACCUGGCACCGGGUCCCCCUGGGACAGGGGGGAUGAGGGAGAUGUCAUGCCAGGCGUCAGGCAGGGCGACCCAGGGUGGCAGACUCUUCAAGCAGAAUCAAGAUCAGCUGCAGAACCCGGUGGACAAGGAUGACCAGGUGGACAAGGACGACUAGGUGGACCAGGGCAACUAUGUGGACCCGGAAAACCAGGUGGACUGGGACAACCAGGUGGAUCAGGACAACCAGGUAGGCGAGGACAACCAGGUGGGCUGUAGGCAGUGACAGCUGGAAUUAUCAGUCAGACUAGAUCUGCAACACAACCGAAAGUACUUUGGACUGGGACAGUCAGAAAUUGCCAGGGCUUACAGUUCUAGUCUGAGGUCCAAAGGACUCAUGUCUUCCUCAAAAUCAAGAAAUUAGGCGGGGAAGCCACCAUUAGGGCAUGUGGAUAGAGUGGAGCUUUGAUGCAGUAUAGAUGAGGAAAAUGGACCAUUGGAACACAGAACACUGCCAUUGGCAUACAGGCAGAAACUGAUCUAACAAAGUCAAUAUUUGUGAAAUCCGUCAGGAUUUAUUGUAACAGGAACAUAAGUAGUUAAGCAACUCAUAUUUUUGUGUAUUUUACUUGUUUUAACAGCAUGACGUUUAGAAAUCAUGUUCUCCCUCAUCACAAAGGCAGUGUCUCUAUUUACCUUUAAUGCAUAUCUUUAGAAAUAACCUUUUGUAGUUAAUAUUCUACAAUCAUUACUAAAUACACAGCUACAAUGAAUAUUGAAAAUUGUAGUCUAAAUAUGCAGUAAUCAUGGUUUAGACUAGGGCACAGCACUGUGACUGGUUGUAAAUGAUAUGGCCAGAACCCUGAGAAUAGUUUUUUAAAUGGUUCAAUAUUUCAAUUGUAUUUUUAUAACCUUUAUGCUCUAUACCAAAGCACUGCUUCAUUGUGUGUUCUUUUUAUAAGCUGUUGCUGAAAACGGUUUCCAUCAAAAGGUAAAUACCAUGUAUGGGUCUUAAUAAAAGCAAUCUUCAUUGUGAGCGUUUAAAAUGUUACUACAUCAUGUAUCUUUAGCCAUAUAAAGCAUGUGUAAAGAUGUAUUAAAACUGAG